AAUAGAUACCCCGGUAGUCCACGCCGUAAACGAUGAGUGCUAGGUGUCGGGGAUUCGAUUCCUCGGUGCCGAAGUAAACACAGUAAGCACUCCGCCUGGGGAGUACGCUCGCAAGAGUGAAACUCAAAGGAAUUGACGGGGACCUGCACAAGCAGUGGAGUAUGUGGUUUAAUUCGAAGCAACGCGAAGAACCUUACCAGGUCUUGACAUCCUCCUGACCGGUGCAGAGAUGCACCUUUCCUUCGGGACAGGGGAGACAGGUGGUGCAUGGUUGUCGUCAGCUCGUGUCGUGAGAUGUUGGGUUAAGUCCCGCAACGAGCGCAACCCUUGAUCUUUGUUGCCAGCACGUAAUGGUGGGCACUCUAAGAUGACUGCCGGUGACAAACCGGAGGAAGGUGGGGAUGACGUCAAAUUAUCAUGCCCCUUAUGACCUGGGCUACACACGUACUACAAUGGUCGGUACAGAGGGCAGCGAGACCGCGAGGUGGAGCGAAUCUCAGAAAGCCGAUCUCAGUUCGGAUUGC
rnacentral:rRNA from 1 species